AUACGGAGGGUCCGAGCGUUAUCCGGAUUUAUUGGGUUUAAAGGGUGCGCAGGCGGCCAUUUAAGUCAGCGGUUAAAUCGUGGGGCUCAACCCCAUUCUGCCGUUGAUACUGGGUGGCUUGAUUGCGGUCGAGGUUGGCGGAAUUCGUUGUGUAGCGGUGAAAUGCAUAGAUAUGACGAAGAACACCGAUUGCGUAGGCAGCUGACCAGACCGCAAAUGACGCUCAUGCACGAAAGUGCGGGGAUCGAACAGGAUUAGAUACCCUGGUAGUCCGCACAGUAAACGAUGAAUACUUGUUUUCCGCGAUAUAAUGUCGGAGGCAAAGCGAAAGCGAUAAGUAUUCCACCUGGGGAGUACGCCGGCAACGGUGAAACUCAAAUGAAUUGACGGGG
rnacentral:rRNA from 1 species